AACGUAGGUGGCGAGCGUUAUCCGGAUUUACUGGGCGUAAAGCGCACGUAGGCGGUCUUUUAAGUCGGGGGUGAAAUCCUGGAGCUCAACUCCAGAACUGCCUUCGAUACUGGAAGACUUGAGUCCGGGAGAGGUGAGUGGAACUGCGAGUGUAGAGGUGAAAUUCGUAGAUGUUCGCAAGAACACCAGUGGCGAAGGCGGCUCACUGGCCCGGUACUGACGCUGAGGUGCGAAAGCGUGGGGAGCAAACAGG
rnacentral:rRNA from 1 species